CUCUAAUUGACGGGAACAGAAGUCCAAAAACUUAGUUCUGAAUCCAUCGGAGACUCCGAUCUAAAUCCCGAAUCAGUCUGUACCUGUUUUUGCCCUUCGCCAUCACGCACGCACGGCUCUUGUUUUGAAUGUGGAACAACGUUGCUGAUAUCUACAAUGAUGUCAACAUACAUAGCAGCAUCAAUGCCUACCAAGAUUUAGCAGUGUCAUUGGAUGAACUCAAAACGACAAGUUCCAUUGUCGUUUUGACUUUCUGGGUUUGUUUCCUUUAUUAAUGUUAAUGGAAAUUAUCUGUGUGUUUUUUUAGUAAUUUUCCUUUUAUAUUUUUCUCUCUAUAUAGAUAGAUAGAUAACCCAAAAAAUCGUGACUCCGAUAUAAUUUCGAAUCGAGACGACCAACGCCAUCAUUCUCUAGAUCUGUUCUCGACCUUAUCCAUGAUCAUGUUUGUAUCUAUUUGCUUUCACUUCUUCAUAUGAAAAGCUUGCACCUUUAAUUAUUUCAGCACCAAUGUAUUGAAUAUUGGGAUCUAAUUUACCUUUACUCCAAGUUGGUAGCUGCAGCCUGGUUUUUCUACUUCAAGUCUGGAAGACCCAUUGUGUGGCCUAUGCAUUUAUCUCUGAGACAGUACUGCCCCCAUCAAAUGUGUGGGAAAGAUAUCAUGUGAUAUGAAAAGACUCUAAUAACUGAAGGUGAAUAUCAUACUAAGACAGUCUCGGGUAUGGAAAGGAUUUAUUGGCAAUUGAGGGUACAGCCAACGGCAAGCUUAGGCGGUACAUGAUAUCUUACCCAGUAAUAUUUCAUGGCAAUUGAGGGUCGAGAGAUCCCCUCUUACUCAGUAAUAUCGAUUUCAUCCACUAUAACGAUUGAUGUUCUUGUUUUUUCUUAAAAAUAAAAAACAAAUGAAAUACUGAAUUAGUUUAAAAAACAACAAUA
rnacentral:sRNA from 1 species